GCGGUGAGCCGAGAUUGCGCCAUUGUACUCCAGCCUGGGUAACAACAGUGAAACUCCAUCUCAAAAAAAAAAAAAAUCAGUUCAAGGAAAAGUUGAUUACGUGGAUGGUUCAGCAUGAGACGUAGAAUAAAAUGGAAACUUGUAGAUCAGUUAGUAAAAUAAAAUCCUUUGGGUCCUUUUCAGUGGGUUUUGCGUUUGAGGGAAGUAAUCACCCGGAGGGCUUUGCUGGUCACUGUGCUCAUAGUUUGUCACUGCAUGGCUCUGAGUGGAGCCUGAGAAUUUGCAGUCCUAACUCAUUCCCAGGUGAUGCUGCUGCUGCUCCAGGAACCAGGCUUUGAACAAUCGCAGGCCUGUUUCAUUUCAUUACUCUUACAUGCACACUACAACUUUAUGCCUCAGUUUCAUAUAGUUAAUGCAAGGACACAAAUCCUACUCAGGCAGAGAGAAGCAGGAUAUAGCCCAAUCAUGGCUGCAAAAAGAAUUAGGGGAAAUACACAUCACCCACCUGUACAGUUUUCACCUCACUCUUAUCCUGACUUUGGUGUCUGUGACUAGCCAGUCUCUUGCGUCUCCUUGUGGGGAUAUCAAAAUUAGGCUCUCUGUAACCUGACUUUUGUUGACUUGGUUCCUCUCCUGACAUUGUCCCUUCCCUGUGGAAGCUACAGGAACCUUCACUCAGAUAUGCCCACUGCUGUUCAUGCCACUGUGCCCUCGCAUGAACGUCCUCUGUUAACUCACUGCACAUGUGUAUUCUUCCUCAAGACCCGUCAGCUGCCACCUCCUGUUUAGUAUCUUCCUGUCUUCUCUGUCUUCCCUGUUCUGUCUUCUUUGUGUACCUUGUACAGACUCCUGCUGUAGCCCUUAACAUACUGUGUUACCGUUUGUAACAUAUAUAGUUCCCUUCCUAUUAUGUGAGCAUCUCUGGGGCAUCAGCCUUACCUUCUACAGUUGCGUGGUCCCUGUUCCUAGCCCACAUGUGAGCAGAUAUUUAUGGAAUGUAUGUCCACAGUAUAUAUGUAUGGACUGCACGAUGGAAUCAUUUAGUGGAAACGUUCCAGAUUCCUCAGUCCAUAAAAAUGAAUAGGAUGCAAUCACAACCAAUAACAAGAAUGCAGAGAGCUCAAAUAACUGAUAUUUGGAAGAGAGUUGCAGUCGUGCUACAAAUAAGAGCAUAAUGAGAAGGCCUGAGAUUUCCAUUACCUCAUUGCUCUGUAUCACAGCGAAGUCCACAUGUGGCUCUACUUACAUUAAUCAUCUCAGAAGAACCGAAGUAUUAUUUGUCUAGUAAUGAAAAGCAAUUUGCUGAUACCAACGCAGGGACAUGAAUAGAUAUCACAAAAUAGUUAUCCAUAAGCAUCUGUCAUCUUCAUUAUAUUUUGGUCACAGUGAUAGAUUAUCAAAUGAAUUAGAGGAACGGAAUUAGUUUGAAUCCUCAGCUCUAACAUAAUCACUUGGGAAAAUAUUUGCCGAGUAAAAAGAUUAUGAGAAUGAAAACUUCUAUUUACCUAAAAAAGAGUAACUGCAGAAUCCUAAUCAUCUAGAAUGUUUCAAAAUCCACUGUCCGCGGGCCCAUGAGCUCAGUUGCUAUGUGUACUUUCAAAUGCAUUGCAUACCACUUCUAUCCUACACACAGAUUUUUUAAAUUAUGUGGCAAGGGACGAAGAGAUGGCGCUUUAAGAUGAAGGAAAUGGGCAGUAUUUUUUUUUUUUUUUGAGACGAUCACUGCAGAGUGGAACUAUUUACGGUGUGGGUCACGGAAAGGCAGCACUUGUUCUGAAAAAAUGUCAGUGCUAGAGUUUUGUGAGAUUGCUUUAAUAGAUUUUUUUCUUCUUUUUUAUCCAACUUUGCCAGAAUUAAAGCAAUGUUGUUACAGCAGGAGGAGCAGCAGGGCGACUGUGGGGUCUGUGAAAGGACGGGUGUCACUUAGUGCCUGCUGUUGGCUGCUUCUCCGGGAAUCCUGGCUUCCUAUAUCUCACUCUAUCGGCGCACCUCCCUCUCGACUCUGACCACCUUUCUCAGACUCCUGAACUGGUUUCAUCUUUCUCCCUCUUGGCUCUGGGUGUCCCUCAGGUACUGUUCUUAACCUCCAGCUCCUUCCUGUAUAUACUCAGUUAGGUAUUACCAAAUGCCCCUGGGACAUUUUCAUUUAGAUGUUCAGCCUCAAAAAGAAAAAAAAAAUUCCUGCACUGAGCACAUUGCACAUCUACCUGAAACCCACCUCCCUUUCCAGAUAUUUUCUCUAAUUUGCACGUGCUGUGAUCAGACCCUCCCUGAUGCCUUUGCUCUUGCCUAGAAUGCCCCCCACCAUCCCCCAUUCUAGUAUACAGCUCUUAAACGCUAAUGCCUGCAGAAACGAGGAGAGGAAUUGGCAGGUGUGAUGCUGGCUGGAAAUGGGGUACAAAAUGGCCACUGACCUUGGCCUCAGUGUCGGGGAGCAGUAGAGCCUGUGGGGGGACAGGGAAGGGCUGGAGAUCUGGUGCAGCAGCAGUCCUUUCCAUGUCAGUGUGUAGGCCCAGUGUUACCAGAUUUCUGUAUUUUAAAUGAGAAUUCAGAGUAUGUUUGUUUUUAAUUGCCUGAUUUUGGCCAGGUGCCAUGACUCAAACCCGUAAUCCCAACUCUUGGGUAGGCUAAGGUGGGAGGAUCAUUUGAGUCCAGAAGUUUGAGACCAGCCUGGGUAAGAUUCAGUCUCUACAAAAAAAAAAAAAAAAAAAAAAAAUGAGCUAGGCAGGGUGGUAUGCACUUACGGUCCUAGCUACUUAGGAGGCUGAGGUGGGAGGUUCACUUGAGCCCAGAUGGGCUGUGAGCCACGAUGUCACCACUGCACUGUGGUGUGGGCAACAGAACGAAACCACAUCUCAAAACAAAAAUUCCCCCAAUUUUAUAUGAACACUUGUUUGAGAUUAAAAUCACCUUCCAGGCUAACAUUGUGUAGAUUAUACAGACGGUGCCGUUAGUCCUGUGUGGGCUUCAGCUGCCAGCGCACGAUCUCUGAUUUAGAGCAUCGAGCUCAGUGCCAUCCAGUAGACGUAUGCAAGAUGUUUGAGAGAUCUAAAAUUUUCCAGUAGCCGUGUUUUAAAUGUUAAAAGAGAACAGGUGAGAUUAACUUUAAUAUUUUUAACUUAACUCAGUGUUUCCCAAGUAUCAUUUCAACAUGCAACCAACAGGAAAAAUCACUAAUGAGAGAGUUCACAUUCUGUUUUUGCAUAAAAGUCUUUGUGUUUUACCCUAAAGGCGAAUCUCAACAUCUCAGCGUAGACCAGCCCCGUGUAACUGGAGGCUGCUGCAGUGCACAGCCCAGCCCUGGAUGAGGAAUGAGAAUCACAUGCACAUAUAAUGAAGUGGGAUUUUAUUCAUUAUGCUUGCGUAAAGCUCGAUCAGUUGAGUUGCGGGUAAUCCAGAGUAGAAGAUAGUAAAUCUGAGAGUGAUGAGUGCAAUAUGACAAAAAGAAAUAUAUAGAAAGAGAUUGCUGGGAUGGUACCAGAGUGAUAAUUCAUAGGCUUUUAUAAGCCCAUUGUGCAUGGCUUCCAAGAGUCUUUUAAGGGACUUUUCUCUCUGGAGUUCUACCCUGUGACACAGGAGCUCACAGUUUAAGUUCUAAUUCACACUUGGAUUUAUGAUGCUGUUGCCCUGCUAAAAGGCAAAUGUCAAGGUGAGUGUUUUGUCUAUAAGCAUUUAAAAUAAAAUGAGCAUCAAAGAAGCCACUGUAAAACGGGGAAGAGUGUUCUGAAUUCAUUGAUGACUUUGUCAAUGCAUUGUGGAGGUGGGAGGAUCAUUUGAACCCAGGAGUUAGCAAUGUAGUGCAUGUGCUAAAUCUUGGUGGAGCCCAGAAGUUUGAGACCAGCCUGGGUAUACGAGAGUACAGUGGUAACAUCGUGGCUCACUGCAGGUCCCCUGGGCUCAAGUCAUCCUGCUGCCUCAGCCUCCUGAGUCGCUAGGACCAAUAGGAGCACAUCACCCUUCCUGGCUCAUUUUUAAAUUUUUUUUGUAGACAUACAAUCUUACUACGGGCUUCACCCAGAUUUAGCAGAUGCACUACACUCCUAACAAUAAGCAUUUCCGCCCAAUGUUUACCUGCUGUUUCUUUCCCUGCACGCUCAUACUGGGAAGCAGGGCCCUAGAGUUAUUGUUAGCUCUGACCUCGUGAAGGUUAUGACCAGCAGUGACUCCUUUUCUUGACCCUGACUGCGUGAUUUUUGUGUUUCCUUGCGACUACAUCCUCGAUAGACUCAAAGAUCUGUUGAGGGUUAGAAUGGGAAGCCAGUGAAAUUCUAAACCAUGUUAGCAUCUCCCUAGAGUAAGAUGUUAAUCAUCUGGCAUGCAGUAAUAUGUACAUGGAUCAUUGUCCUCUCACCAGGCUGCUCUAUGCCCAGUAACAGUCAAGAUGUGGUCACUGAUGCCCCCUUGCUACAAGAAGGGACCAGGGAAAGGAUGCCAGCUUCCCAGGACUGUCAGUCAUCCCUGUUUAACCCCUGUCUGAUGUUCUCAGUGACACCUUUAGCAUUUUGGAAGAUAUAUACCAUCAGUGCUAUCCAGGAGCCAAGGGUCCCAACUCUGCUGAGUUAAGGCAGUGGCACAAUUACCAUCCUGGGUUGAACUGUCAACAUUAUUGGAAAGCUCAUCCUAGGACUAUUGCUGUGGCAUUUCCCCAUAUCUGAACUCUCUGGCAUGGAUCUGUUGUGAGAAAGCUGCCAAACGUGAUGAUUUUGAGAAACGAGUCUAAGGAACCUUGAAGGGAAUCCAGGCCCCUUAUAGAGCUGGUCAUUUCUUAAGUCAUUCAGUACUGCCUUCCUGGCCUAUGUCUUGUCUCGCUGGCCUCAGUAAGCAGCCUCCGCUUGGUUCCAGCCAGUCUUACCUCCUAAGUACAGCAUUGAUUGGAAGAAGAGGAAGCAGAAAGUCUGCCUUUGUGCAAGAAGGAACUUGCCCACAAUUGUCUUGGGGCACAUAUUAGUCUCUGUAUGAAUUGCUUUAGUGCAAACAUUUCCACCAGCACGUAAAAUUUCAAUUGUCUUUGUUUUGAGCCUUCUGAAUUCAGAGGAAGUAUUUCAUAUUGAUAUAUUUAGGUGAAAGAGAAAGUUACAGAGCCCUUUUGGUUUGAGGUUACCACUCCAGACACUUCAAAUGAAGAUGAAAUUUGAGAACUAAUUCAUAGAGAUAAUGACUUAGAGUAGAAAUUGAGAGCAAAUACUUCCUUUCUUGGAAAUGGUUCAAAAAGUGGAUAGUAAAACAAAGGAGAGCAAAAUGGAACUUGGCUGGGAUGCCAUGGGCGUUUCCUGGUUUCGUCCACACAUCCGUUCUUCAGAUAAAGGUUUAUUGAUUUUACCAUGAUAUGCCAGGCACUUAGAAUGCAAGCAUAGUUAAGAUCCAGUUAGUUUGUUUGUUUUUAAUUUAGUAGACUUGGUCGGCGGUAGGGCCUGCAAGACCAGCUCCCAAUAAUCCUCAAUUCCUGGUGUACACAGCUCUGUUCCGUCCCUUCCCAUAAUGAAUAAGGCCAACCUGUAUAACCAAUAAGAUAACAUGGAAGUAAUGAUUUGUAACUCCAGAGCUAGAUCAGAGAGGUUGCUGUUUCUACCCUGCUCUCUUGGAUCACUUGUUCUGGAGGGAAGCCAGUUGCCAUGUUGUGAGGACACCCAGGCAAGCUGUGGAAAGGACCACAGGGAGAGCUGAGGCUUCCUGUCAGCAGCCAGUCCCAACUUUUCAGCCAUGAGAAAAAGCCCCUUGGAAGCAGAUCUUCCAGCCCCAGGCAAGCCUCCACGUGACUGGCACUGGCUGAUAUCUUGAUUGCAACUUCAUCAGAGACCGCAAGCUAGAGCCACUUAAAUUUCUGACCUAUACAAUGUGUGUGAUGUGAUAAGCGUUUAUUGUGUUAAGCCUUUGUGUUUUAAGAUCAUCUAUUAUGUAGCAAUACAUAACUAAUACAUAGUCUUUACGUGUGGCCAGGCUUUGUUUGAAGGCCUUUGCAAAUAUUAACCCACGAAUCCUCCUAACAACUCCUCAAAGUUGGUACUGUUGUUAUUCUUAUUUUAUACAUGUGGAAAUGGAGGCCCAGAGAUUACUUUUAUCUUUUUGAGUUUUGCGUUUUUUUAUUUUGUAAAAAUAUUUUAUUUAUAAUUUUUAUGGAUAUAUAGAGAUGUUUAAAUUACUAGCCCAAAGUCAGUUUGUAAAGUGUUGAGCUGGGAUUUGAUUUGAGCAGUCUACCCCUUAGUAGAAUCUGCUUUAAAAAAAAAUGAACUAAGCAGUCUGGCCAGAGUCCAUGCUCUUAGCAGCUACAUUGUGUUGUCCUCAAGGAGGAGCAUGUUUUAGAAAAUUAGUUAUUAAAUCAGGUGACUGAUGAAGGGCAGGGUUAGGCUAAGAUAAGAGUGUACUCUGUUCAGAAUCCAGCUCUGUUACCAUUCAAGUGGAAGGUCUUGGUUAAAUCACUUAUUGGAACUUCUGUACAAUAAUCUGUAAAACCAUUACUUCCCACUUGGAAAGAUUUUGAGGAUUAAAUGACAUAAUGCAUGAAAGCCCUCUAGCUUGAGUGUCAGUACACCUGAGUUCCCUUCCCUUGCUCUGCACAACCUGAUCAUCACCACUAAUGGGGAACUCUGUCCUCUGUAGGGCCCCUGCAGACAUGGGCCUUGCCCGGAUGCUGCUGCUCUCUGAGCCUCGGAGAGCUGUGCCUGGCAUUCCAGCACAGGUGGUCACAGCUAUCAGAAGGAGACUCCUGUUUGGGACCCUGCCCUCACUCCCACAUAGGAAAAAUCCAUUUCCUGAACAUCUCUUGGCCUUUACUGUUAGGUUGUAGAAUAACAACAAUUAAUGAUUUUCUGUGUUUAGUUCCAUUAUGCACAAUACUCCACAGAAUGGGUGGCUUUGAAUGCCAACCACAAUUUACAAAGUGGAGUGGCUCUGCUGUCUCUUUGAGGUAUUGUGGAGCCAGACGUGUUGCUAUUGGGGGUGGGUGGUGAUUUAUAGGACAGCACCAUUAGCAGAGGCAGGCACAGAGACCUGGGUUCAAAUCCCACUACCAGUGCUAUCAGGUGUGAGACUUUGGACAAGUUAUUUAACCUUCUUGAGGCUUAGUGUCCUUGCAUGUAAAAUUCAAAAAUGCUGACCUCAUUGAUUCCUUGUGAGGAGCUCUUGGGGUAACGUGGGUACCAUGUGUCAGUAUCAUUUCCCUUUCCCUUCACAAUGAUUGUAUUGGAAAGCUAGUGUCAAAGGCAGCUAAUGGUUAGGAGUUCAGACUCACACAAGAAUACAUUUUAUUUUGCUGUGGAAAUUUAGUGAUAACUUUGGACUAAGACAAUUUCAAGACAUUACAGCAGACAGUCAGAGAGUAGUUACAUUCUUGUGAGGUCUGCAGAAGUCCCUAGUGGAGAGAGCAGACACAGUCCUGGAUGCUCAGUCCUAGCUCGGCUGUGAAACCGGAGCUUGAGCCAUGAUUACUGCACUGCACUGUAGCAACAGAGAAGGACCCUGUCUCUGAAAAAAAAAAAAAAUUGUAAGAUCAUUUUGGAAAAUAAGUGGCAUUUUCUACUAUAAGUCAGCAAAUCUACAAAUCCAAAUAUACUCAAGAAAAGCAUAGAUGCAGGAGGAAGCAUAUAAGAAUGUUCACUGGGGCAUUGUUUGUAAGAGGUAAAACCUGAGACCAGUCUAAAUGUCCAUCAGGAAAAUAGUAGAUUUAAGAAAUAUUUGAUGUGUAUAAGAUAGAACACCAUAUAGCAAUUAAAUGAUUGGAUUUGAUACAUUUGGAUAACUUAAUGUUGAUAAAAAAUCUCAGCUAAAUAAUGUUCCUUUUGUGUAACAUUUUUUAAAACCACAAAAUGGCACUUUAGUUUUGAACAUAUAUAUGAUUUUAUAUAUGAUUUUAUAAUUGUGGGCGUGUGUGUGUGUGUGUGUGUACACACACACACAAAAAAUAUGUAUUUUAUAUAUAAACAUUUGUAUAUAUACAAGCACACCCCACAGUUAUGAAAUCGUGCCUGCGAAAGGCAUCUAGAAGUUCUAGAGAACGAUAUCCUUUGGGAAGGGAAGCGGGGCAAGUUAAAUUGAACUAGAGUGAAAAGGAGGCUUGAACUCUGUUAUGCUUUAUUUCUU